GACGAACGCUGGCGGCGUGCUUAACACAUGCAAGUCGAACGGAAAGGCCCUGCUUUUGUGGGGUGCUCGAGUGGCGAACGGGUGAGUAACGCGUGAGUAACCUGCCCUUGACUUUGGGAUAACUUCAGGAAACUGGGGCUAAUACCGGAUAGGAGCUCCUGCUGCAUGGUGGGGGUUGGAAAGUUUCGGCGGUUGGGGAUGGACUCGCGGCUUAUCAGCUUGUUGGUGGGGUAGUGGCUUACCAAGGCUUUGACGGGUAGCCGGCCUGAGAGGGUGACCGGCCACAUUGGGACUGAGAUACGGCCCAGACUCCUACGGGAGGCAGCAGUGGGGAAUAUUGCACAAUGGGCGGAAGCCUGAUGCAGCAACGCCGCGUGCGGGAUGACGGCCUUCGGGUUGUAAACCGCUUUCGCCUGUGACGAAGCAUGAGUGACGGUAAUGGGUAAAGAAGCACCGGCUAACUACGUG
rnacentral:rRNA from 1 species